rnacentral:rRNA from 1 species
AGAGUUUGAUCAUGGCUCAGAGCGAACGCUGGCGGCGUGCUUAACACAUGCAAGUCGAGUGCGCGCCUGUAGCAAUACAGGUGGCGCACGGCGCACGGGUGCGUAACACGUGGGUAAUCUGCCCUUCGAUGGGGAAUAACUCCGGGAAACCGAAGCUAAUUCCGCAUAACAUUCCUUGAACUUCGGUUUGGGGAUUCAAAGCCGUAAGGCGUCGGAGGAGGAACCCGCGCACGAUUAGCUAGUUGGUAGGGUAACGGCCUACCAAGGCUUUGAUCGUUAGCUGGUCUGAGAGGAUGGCCAGCCACACUGGAACUGAGACACGGUCCAGACUCCUACGGGAGGCAGCAGUGGGGAAUCUUGCACAAUGGGCGAAAGCCUGAUGCAGCGACGCCGCGUGGGGGAUGAAGCUUUUCGGAGUGUAAACCCCUUUCGACCCGGACGAAUGCCCCGCAAGGGGACUGACGGUACGGGUAUAAGAAGCCCCGGCUAACUACGUGCCAGCAGCCGCGGUAAGACGUGGGGGGCCAGCGUUGCUCGGAAUUACUGGGUGUAAAGGGUUCGUAGGCGGUGUAGCAAGUCGGGAGUGAAAUCUCUGGGCUCAACCCAGAGACUGCUUCCGAAACUGCUGUGCUUGAGUGUGGGAGAGGCGCGUGGAAUUGCAGGUGUAGCGGUGAAAUGCGUAGAUAUCUGCAGGAACACCCGUGGCGAAAGCGGCGCGCUGGACCACUACUGACGCUGAGGAACGAAAGCUAGGGGAGCAAACAGGAUUAGAUACCCUGGUAGUCCUAGCCCUAAACGAUCAGGACUUGGGGUGCCGCACGUUCGUGCGUCGUCCCGGAGCUAACGCGUUAAGUCCUGCACCUGGGGAGUACGGUCGCAAGACUGAAACUCAAAGGAAUUGACGGGGGCCCCGCACAAGCGGUGGAACAUG